rnacentral:lncRNA from 1 species
GUACCCUCCUCAGAAUGACGCUUUCCAUUACCACAUAAUAUUAAUAGUUAUUAUGUAAAUUAAAGUUACGACUCAAAUCAUCAAUCCAAAAGGGAGAUGCAUUUAAUGAAAAAAUAUGAUUAAAUAGCCAUAUUCAAUAAAUCAACGCUAAUUUGACAAAAAUACUACGUUUUUAUAAACGUGCGAUAUCGUUGUGUUUGGAUUGUUGGCAAAAUUACCUGUACUUGGUCCCUCAUUAAGAUUCCUCCCACUUUUCUUUCUGUCCGCACAUCGAGAUGAGGGCCUCUAGCAUCCAUCAUCUGAACAUCGAAGCUAUGAAGGCCUCAAGCCACGAAGUCUGCCAUAGACCCAAACAUCAUUCUUAAUACUUACAACUCUAUUCAUAAGAGGAUUGUCACCACCUGUGAGGCCAAUAUCGGCCGAAUAGAAUACCUUUCCUAUGUAUUAGGAAAAGAUGAAUGAAUAUUUUUGUUAAAUGUAUAAUUAAAGAAAGCGAGGGUAAUUCAUUUUUUUCUUUUAAGUGUGUAAACUGGUACAUAGAGUGAGACUGAAAAAAAGUUGGUCCAUAUAUUGUGAACGAAAAAACAUUGGCCCACGAUUUGAUAAGUUAAAUUUCCAUCUAUUAUCUGAAUACAGAAUAUCGGUUCAGAUCAGCCUAGAAAUAAGUCAAAGUAAAAAAAUCGAUUUUUGAUAGUGUCUCAACAAUACCAACUAAAUAUUGCUCAGAUAUUCUUCGUUGAACCCUUUAGUUUUAGGUUUGGUUCAAGGAGUCUUAAUUUUGAAAGAAAGGUACUCAAGAAGGAAUCCAAAAUAGAGGGUAUUUUUAUUAUUAUAGUUCCACAAUGGCUUUUAAACAUAAUAACAAAACUUAGAGACUUUGAGAGAUAGCUCAAAGCUCACAUAAUCGGAUAUGUGAAGGAGCCAAAUUGCGACAACAGCCACUUAAAAGAAGGGAAAAUUUUGUGCAAAAUUACUGUUGAAUAAUCCCCCUUGAAUCUUGCAAUAAAGGAUAAAUACUUUAAAGCCAAAUUGAGAAACCCUGAUGCCUCUAUUUAUGCAAAAGGCUGAAUUCAUUGGUGGUGAUCAGUUUAUGGUUUAUUAGCAUACUAGCAAAUCAUGUUAUUUUCAACUAUGUUAAUAUUUAUUGCACUUUCAACACCCCAAGCAGAGCCAAAAGAAUGCAUCCAUCUAACAAGACUCCUGAAGAUCAAGCCAACAUUAUAUUUGCUCCAACUACUAAUGUGGACGUUAAACGUUCUUUUUAGUAUAUUUAAAAAUACCAAUACUGAUAGAAGGCAAAAAUUA